AUGAAUAUGUCAGUUGAAUAUAUGGCUCUUGAAGCUCAGAAGAGAAUUCUGGGGAUAUAAACUUAGAAGUCAUCUGCAUAUAAAUGGCAUUUAAUGCCAAAAGAUUGGAUGUGAUUUGGAGAAGAGACUCCGGUCUGAGCUAUGGGGCUCAACGUUUAGAAUUCCAGUUGAGAAGGAGGAGUCUGCAAGUGGGUGCUGAGAAGCAGUGGCCAAAAAGGCCAAGCCACUCUCAUGGUGCAUCAGAUCUUUCAGAGGGGCUGUGACCCAAAGAAAUCCAAGGACUUAUGGAGCAAAUAGUUAUGUGAUAAUGUGAGCAGGAAACACAGAUGACAAAAUGAUGAAUUCUGGAAGGGUACCCUCAGCACUGAGUGUCAGCCAGGAAGGGGGCAGGAGCUGUUGGGAGUUGAGAACACCU